CACGUAGGAAUCGAGCGUUAUCCGAAUUUACUGGGCGUAAAGCGCGUGCAGGUGGUUUGCCAAGUUGGAUGUGAAAGCUCCCGGCUCAACUGGGAGAGGCCGUUCAAAACUGGUAGACUUGAGAGUGGUAGAGGAAGGUGGAAUUCCCGGUGGAGUAGUGAAAUGCGUAGAUAUCGGGAGGAACACCAGUGGCGAAGGCGGCCUUCUGGACCAUUUCUGACGCUGAGACGCGAAAGCUAGGGUAGCGAAU
rnacentral:rRNA from 1 species